rnacentral:antisense_RNA from 1 species
AUCACUUCUGCUCACAACUGCCCAGUCCCAGCCAGUCACACGGCCCCAUCUGGCUACAGAGGGUCAGGACGUACAAUCCUGCCAUGUGCCCAGCAUAUGGUGAACAGCAUAAUGACUUCCAUACUCAUGUAUCUAAAUGGUCCAGGAGAAACGUGGUUUCAGGCAUGGCUGGAUCCAGGAUCUCAAGAGCUAUUACUGGGACUAUGUCUCCAUCUCUCAGCUCUGCUUUCUUGUGUGUUUCUUGCUGCCCCUCCCAGUACCCUCCUUACAGCUUAGUAAUCCCAGCAGAAACAGAGCAUGGACCAGCUAGGGUACAUUCCAGCAGAGCAAGAUGAAAAAGAGCUGAAAUUGGCAUCAGGAGCCCAGAGUUCUGGUUCCAGCUCCGACCACUCAUUCAGUGUGUGACCUCAGGCAGGUCACCAGCCUGAGCUGUGCCUUCAUUUCAUCUGUCAAACGGAUGACUCUGCCCCUCAGAGCUUGCAGACCGCAUGGUGAUAGGAACAAUAUGGACUUCUUGCAGCUCCUGGAGGCAGACGCUGGAGGGCUGGGCUCGGUCUCCGUCACAGGCAAUGCCCUGAUCCCACAAAGCCCCAGAGGUGCUGUGGACCAGCUUGCGACACAAGACUUCAGAAGGGAGGAUGGCUGUUGUCAUCUGUUGACCACAAACACGUUUGCUGUGCACACUUGUACCCAUGGGUGAGCUCCGUGCGUCCAGACAUGUACAGGGCAGGUGAAUGCAUGGAGUACCAUGGGCAUUAUCCCAGGCCCACAGGCACGUGCAAUCACACACACACGUGGACAUGCCACUGCGCACCUAAGACACACACACACACACACACACAGGCAUAUGCACACACACACACACAUAUGCACACACACACAUGCAUAUGCACACACACACACAUGCACACACACACGCGCAUAUGCACACACACACAGGCAUAUGCACACAUGCACACACACAGACACUGUAAACAUCAGGCUCAAAGGCCCAUCCAGGAGACCAAAGGCUGCAGGUGUCUUCACAUCACAGCCCCGGUGACCUUGUCUCUGGCUCAGGGCCCAGUGGCCUGGCCAGCUCUGGACAUCCAGUCAGCCUCACUAGCUGGCCUGGGGUCCAGGGCUCGAAAGUGGCGGAGGAAUGACCACCCACUGGCGGAGGUAGCUUCGGGGCGGUCCUUCGUCCCCGGGGCUGGUGAAGUCACACUCCACAGGGCUGCUGCAGUCAGAGCCCACGAAGCCACUGUCAAACGUGUCCAUAUCCAGGCCGGCCGGGGGUGAGCCCGCCUCACUCUCUGAGACUCCUCCAGGCGACCGGCCACCCCAGGGCAGUCCCCCAGCCCAGUCCUCCCCAUCUGCAAGGGGUGGCUUUAGUCUGUCCAAGAGGCUUCCCAGGGGCCCUCCUAGCCCAGGGCUGCCAGCUGAGACACAGCCACAGGAGAGGACUGUGGUCCCUGCACCCAAGAGUGGGUCCUCUAGGCCUGGGCUGGGCUCCAGGCCAGCGUCCAGGUCCAGGGCUGGGUAGCCGUCAUCCUCACAGCUGCAGGGCCAGGUGCAUGGCCCCUCUGCAUCUAGCACAGUCACUGUGUCAAUGGACACCAGGCCAUACGGCCGGUCCCUCUCCUCACUGUAAGCUGAGCCCCCCGAGUUCUGGGCCGUCGGCCAGAAGCUGGGCUUGGUCACACCAUCAGACUCCACCAGCUCUGCUGGUUCUUGUAGCUCCGUGAGCUGCAGCCUCUUGGCCGGGCUCUGUGGUGGGUGGCAGCUGUACACCUCCAGGGUGGAGGGCAUCUCUGGACUCCAGGGUCCCAGCUCCAGGCUGGAGCCAGUGAAGGGUGCACCCACCCAUUUCUGUGAGAGAGAAAAAGAGAGAGAGAGUCGUAGCACAGGAUGAGGGUAAGGUGAGGGUUUUUUUUUUUUUUUAACUUUUAUUCUUUUGAGACAGUCUGGCUCUGUUGCCCAGGCUGGAAUGCAGUGGUGCCAUCUCGGCUCACUGCAACCUCUGCCUCCCAGGUUCAAGUGAUUCUCCUGCCUCAGCCUCCCAAGUAGCUGGGACUACAGGCGCCUGUCACCACACCCGGCUAAUUUUUGUAUUUUUAGUAGAGACGUGGUUUCACCAUGUUGGCCAGGCUGGUCUUGAACUCCUGACGUCAGGUGAUCCACCCGCCUCAGCCUCCCAAAGUGUUGGGAUUACAGGCGUGAGUCACUGUGCCCAGCCAAGGUGAGGGUUUAAACAGACAGAAAGACAGACACAGACACAGACACAAGACAAAGAGACAUCAAGAGAGACAGACAGAGACAUGAAGAUAGACAAAGACACCGAGAGACAGAGAGAGAGAGAGGAAUCAGGACCGCAGUGUGCUCCCACCCUAGUGGAUCCCCCUCCUACUCUGGGCCUCAGUUUCCCUACUUGUAGAAGGAAGUUGCUACCCUUAGUAGUGUGGCCACUCAGACAACUGGUGGCCCCAUAGCCCAGGCAGGGACCAAGAUUCCUGAGUCAAGGAGACAUGGGGGCAGGAGGGCCUGAGGUCUGAGGUACCCCUGAGCCAUCUCCUGCUUUCCCACCUCCUUGAUGCUUCUUGAAACCUAGCACUCUCCUAGUUUAUGUGUCCCCACCAGACAGACACUUGGCCCCCGGACAUAAGUCUUGUCUCUUCUGUCCAUGGCUGUAGCCCCAGUGCCUAGCACAAAGUAGGUGCUCAAUAAAUGUUUAUUAACAAAA